CUUGUUCAGUUAAGACAUCCGCAGCUGGGGUGUUGGUGCGAAUUGUCUCUUCUUGUGUGAACAUGGUGCAGACCAAAGCAAACUGCGUCCCGGGAGCCUACAGAAAAGUGGUGGCUUCUCGAGCUCCCAGGAAGGUGCUUGGCUCCUCCACCUUUGUCACCAAUUCUUCAUCGUGUUCGUCGAGAAAAGCUGAAAAUAAGUAUGCAGGAGGGAAUCCAGUUUGUGUGCGCCCAACUCCAAAGUGGCAAAAAGGCAACUGGAGAAUUCUUCAGGCUGUCUCCUAAAGAUCGUGAGAAAGAGAACCAGUUUCCUGAGGAAGCAGGAUGCAGUGGCUUAGGAACAUCAAAGAGAAAAGCAUGUCCUUUGCAACCUGAUCACCCAGAUGACGAAAAUGAAUAGAACUUACUCAUCUGAAUAAUGUCUUCAGUUUACUUAGGUAUUCUGGGAUGUAACUUGGGUAGAUGUGUUUGUUUAUUUGGCUUGUUGACUACGCAUUCAUGUAGCUAUUCAAAACAACUGGCUGUAAAAAGGGAAGAUUUUUAUAAUUUGUAAAUUAUAAUUGCAUACUCGAAUUUA